GCUGGAAUUCGCCCUUGUGCCAGCAGCCGCGGUAAUACGUAGGUCCCGAGCGUUAUCCGGAUUUAUUGGGCGUAAAGCGAGCGCAGGCGGUUAGAUAAGUCUGAAGUUAAAGGCUGUGGCUUAACCAUAGUACGCUUUGGAAACUGUUUAACUUGAGUGCAGAAGGGGAGAGUGGGAUUCCAUGUGUAGCGGUGAAAUGCGUAGAUAUAUGGAGGAACACCGGUGGCGAAAGCGGCUCUCUGGUCUGUAACUGACGCUGAGGCUCGAAAGCGUGGGGAGCAAGCAGGAUUAGAUGCCCUGGUAGUCCACGCCGUAAACGAUGAGUGCUAGGUGUUGGGUCCUUUCCGGGACUCAGUGCCGCAGCUAACGCAUUAAGCACUCCGCCUGGGGAGUACGACCGCAAGGUUGAAACUCAAAGGAAUUGACGGGGGCCCGCACAAGCGGUGGAGCAUGUGGUUUAAUUCGAAGCAACGCGAAGAACCUUACCAGGUCUUGACAUCCCUCUGACCGCUCUAGAGAUAGAGUUUUCCUUCGGGAA
rnacentral:rRNA from 1 species